rnacentral:rRNA from 1 species
UACGAAGGGGGCUAGCGUUGCUCGGAAUCACUGGGCUUAAAGGGCGCGUAGGCGGGUGCUCAAGUCCGUGGUGAAAUCCUCCGGCUCAACCGGAGAACUGCCUCGGAUACUGGGCGUCUCGAGUGUGGUAGGGGUAUGCGGAACUAUCGGUGGAGCGGUGAAAUGCGUUGAUAUCGAUAGGAACUCCGGUGGCGAAGGCGGCAUACUGGACCACCACUGACGCUGAUGCGCGAAAGCCAGGGGAGCAAACGGG